AACGAACGCUGGCGGCGUGCUUAACACAUGCAAGUCGAACGGAAAGGCCCUUCGGGGUACUCGAGUGGCGAACGGGUGAGUAACACGUGGGUGAUCUGCCUCGUACUCUGGGAUAAGCCUGGGAAACUGGGUCUAAUACCGGAUAGGACCACUGGUCGCAUGGUUGGUGGUGGAAAGUUUUUCGGUACGAGAUGGGCCCGCGGCCUAUCAGCUUGUUGGUGGGGUAAUGGCCUACCAAGGCGACGACGGGUAGCCGGCCUGAGAGGGCGACCGGCCACACUGGGACUGAGACACGGCCCAGACUCCUACGGGAGGCAGCAGUGGGGAAUAUUGCACAAUGGGCGCAAGCCUGAUGCAGCGACGCCGCGUGAGGGAUGACGGCCUUCGGGUUGUAAACCUCUUUCACCAGGGGCGAACUUAGGACGGUACCUGGAGAAGAAGCACCGGCCAACUACGUGCCAGCAGCCGCCGUAAGAC
rnacentral:rRNA from 1 species